UUCUCAUCAUACUGGCAGCGUCCUGCAAUUGGCUAUUUUGCUUUACAGUGAGAAGGGUGUUUUUUCUCCUCUGACAGAUCAUUUGUUGAUGAAAUUUGCACAAAGUUGUUUUUCCAGUAUUGAAAGGAAUUUGUUUAAACUCCAUAUAAUGUGCUAGACUCUAAUCUAAGAUUCCAAGAAAAGAGAUUUUUGUAAAGAGCUAGAAAAACUUACCAGACACCUGAUGGUCAGAAAACUAAACCUACGAGUCAAGAGGUAGAUAUGAAAGAUAAGAGUGUUGGGACUCCACCCCUGAAAUUUAGGGGCAAUGUCCUGGUAAGAAUGCCAGCUCCUCUGCCAUCAGCUGCGAGGAAAACAAGCCCUGAGCAAGUCACAACCUCCAUCUCAGCUUUCCCAUCUGUAAAAUGGGGAUAGUGAUACACCAAACUAGCAGGUUUUGACCUUUCAAUAGAGAGCUGAUUCUGGAGAACAACUUACUUCUGUGAUUGAAAAAUUCUCUCUGGAAAGCUGAUGGAGCAUGAGAAUGAGGAGUAUUGCAUUGAGACAACUGAAUCUGCCACAGUAAGGAUGGAAAUUAUAUGGGUUUCUUUCCUUUUCUUACAUACAGCUUCUAACUGUGUGACCAGUGAGCCUUUGAAGUGGAUUCUUCUGAAGGUUACCCUUACAGUAAAGUUUAUUGAAGCAGUGAAGAUGGCAACAUGGAUUCUAGUGAUGAAGGGAGCUGUAUGCUCUUUCUUCCCCCACUUGUGUUUGCUGAAAUGCAAAUUAUUCUGUUUCCUACCAUCUCCUUCCCC